CAAGUCAGACUAGUGUUAAUCAUCUUUAUUAGGUUUAAAAAGUACGUAGACAGUUUAUCUAGCCUAUAAAAGGGGACGGGUAUCCUAGAGUUUUAUGAGAGAGGAAGAUGUUUGUACGACAGGGGUAAAGAUGAAAUUUUUUGAUCUCUGUUUGACGGGUAAUGGCGAAGGCAAACCUCUAUGUAAAAACUGACGUUCAGGGACGAAGGCUUGGAACACGAAAAGGAUU
rnacentral:rRNA from 1 species